AGGAGAUAAAGAGGAAGAAGAUAAGUUCAUGAAGCAUUCUUGUUUUAACUUCAAGCUUAUUUGUGCCAAUUGAAUACCUGCUAUUUCUUCUCCACAUGGAGCAGCCAGAUUAACAAGUCUUAUAGGCUCAUGUCCGAGCAAUAUGCAGUUGUGAUCUACGUUGGUAGACAGAACUCGGAUGAUGAAGUAAAUGUAUUUGUAGGAUCUCAGAUAGCGUGUCACAAUCAUUGCAAAUUGUGAGACGAUGCGUCUUUUACAUGCUUGAAAAAGAUGUAGAGUCUUGCUAAAAAAAGUACCUGUCAGAUUGAUAAUGCGGUUGUGUAUUAAUCGUCGGCACCAUCUUCAGUGUUCAGAACACGGAAAAUAUUAGAUUUGCAUUGAAGAUGGUGUCGACUUGCAAUCGCUUCAACUGCAGCACUGAUUAGCAAAGGUGACACCUGCAUGGG
rnacentral:lncRNA from 1 species